UACGGAGGGUGCGAGCGUUAUCCGGAAUCACUGGGUUUAAAGGGUGCGUAGGCGGCUCGGUAAGUCAGUUGCGAAAGCCCCUUGCUUAAAGAGGGAGGCGCGAUUGAUACUGUCGAGCUUGAAUCGGGAUGAGGCAGGCGGAAUGUGGCAUGUAGCGGUGAAAUGCAUAGAUAUGCCAUAGAACACCGAUUGCGAAGGCAGCCUGGUGGGCCUGUAUUGACGCUGAGGCACGAAAGCGUGGGGAGCAAACAGG
rnacentral:rRNA from 1 species